UACGUAGGUGGCGAACGUUAUCCGGAAUUAUUGGGCGUAAAGGGUGCGUAGGUGGCUUGAAAAGUUAUCAGUGGCAAAUCGAGGCUUAACCUCGCGGAAACUGGUAAUACUGUUUGGCUCGAGUGCAGGAGAGGUUAACGGAACUCUAUGUGGAGCGGUAAAAUGCACAGAUAUAUAGAAGAACACCAAUAACGGCGAAGGCAGUUAACUAUUCUGUUACUGACACUGAGGCACGAAAGCGUGGGGAGCAAAACGG
rnacentral:rRNA from 1 species